AUGAUAUCGGUGAAUAUUAUCAAACUCUGCUCCAGUCUCUUGUUGCCUACCUUCUGAGAUUUAACAUCAACUGCAUCUUCUGGAAAUGGGUCACAUCCUUGGGUGUAACCUAGUUUUGGAGGUUUCUAUUGUGAUAUCCUCAAGUGAAGAGAAUCAUUCCUCAGACGUGUCCAGCCUGCUAAUAAGCCCAUCAAAGCCUGUAUUUUAUGAGCACGUAUUCACUGAAGAAUAACCAGGCCACGCUUGCAGUUGGAAAAAUAUUUUAACUUCCUGAGCUGGAAAACAACAUCAACCACCCCAAGAGCAGUCACGUCGGCAGCGAUCACCAGAAUCAGCCCUCACCCGAAAAUCCAGCCAGAGCGGAGAUCGUGCAGCCUCUGUUCGUCCCAUCGCACGAAACGCUCCUCCUUCUGCUGCUGCCCCGCUCGCUCGGUGACUCCCGCCAAACUCCAGCCUGCUCGGGGUCAGCCUGCUGGGGGUGCCGCCCGCUCCAUUGUGAGCCGCUGCGCU